rnacentral:rRNA from 1 species
AGGACGAACGCUGGCGGCGUGCUUAACACAUGCAAGUCGAACGAGGUGCUUCGGCACUUAGUGGCGAACGGGUGAGUAACACGUGAGCAACCUGCCCUUGGCUCUGGGAUAGCCUCCGGAAACGGGGAUUAAUACCGGACAUGACCUUCCCCGGCAUCGGGGUUGGUGGAAAGUUUUUCGGCUAGGGAUGGACUCGCGGCCUAUCAGCUAGUUGGUGAGGUAACGGCCCACCAAGGCGACGACGGGUAG